UCCACGUGUGAUUUCUUUCCUUUUCUUCCUUAUUUCUGUUUUGCUUUCUUCCUUUGCUCUGUUUUUGGUUGAGGAAAACGAAAAGAAACAGAGAGAGAGAGAGAGAGAGGAAACAUAGUAGAAGGGAAGAGGUGAGAACUCGAUCGAGAGUUUGGACUGGAUUACGGUAGAGGAGGAAGGAACAAAACCGAGAGGACGACAGGGGAGCGAGAGUUUCGGGGUGACAACAACGAAGAACCAAAGGGAUGACGGGCUAUGCCGAGAGUAUAGGGGUUGGGAAAUUUGAACUUAUUCCAAGGGUAGAGUUUAGAUUGCAAUUGGGUAAUUAACGAGCUUGCUAGGAGCCGAGGAGAAUGAGACUAUACACCCGGAAGGCUCUACUCGUUGAGUUAUCAUUUUAGGGGUUUUUGUGAGUAUUUUUAUUUCACUAUAGAAUGAAACUAAAUCUUAAAUUAAUUAUAUCAAUGUUUGUUUGAGUGAGAUAAGUUGAAUGAAGAUAGUAUGAGGAUUUAUUGUAAAUGAAUUCGAUUAAUAGUGGUGUGGUGAUAUUACUGUUUAUGGCCAUGGGACCACUGAUUCGAUGAGAUACAAAAAGAGAUGUCUAGAUUGCUAAUUUGGCAGGAUACAAAAAGGGACGUCUAGACUUCUACUACCGGAGGAUAACGGGCAACCCCCGCUUAUGAAAAAUCAAAUGAAGAUUUUUUAGAUGAGCUAGGAGCUAGACUAGCAGUACGGGAAAAUCGUUUUGGACAUCGGGGAUCAACGUGAAGAAUAUUGUAGCUAGACCCACUCGUAACAUAUGUAAUGAGUUAAGAGCUAGACUAGCAGUACGCGAAAAUCGUUGUGAACAUCGGGGAUCAGCGUGAAGAAUUUUGCAGCUAGACCCACUCGUAGCAUAAGUAGUAAGUUCAUGUAGUGUGUUAUAAAUAUGUUAUAAUCUGAAACUUUUGUCAAGUUGAUUCACUGAGUAUGGUAAAAAGGAGUACUAUCUUGAUAUCUAUAUAGAUAAUAGAGCUUGCUGGAUUUAUUACAUAUAUUGAGAUUUUAUGAAAAAUUCUACUAAAAUUUCAGAUCGUGACACUUGGUUGGCGUUUAAAUGCCUUGUCACUGUCGUGCAUAUCUGAUACCAGCUUGGCUUGAUGGUGGUUGGGGUAGGUAAGGAAAAUUAAUGAUGAUUACGUACAGUUUCCGGAUAGAGAUCAGUUACUUCUACCGUGAGAAUGCGUAACUGAAUCACCAACAUUUUUUAUAGGCAAAAUUAUUUUUUAUUUUUAAAAUGAACUUCAACCUCCUCAAGUAAGAUGCUGUGUAUUGAGUAAGACGGUUUGGUCCAGUUUCUUUCAUCAUUUACUAGAAAUCAAUAAGAUAUUUGAUGUUCUAUUUUCAACGGUGUGACUCUCCGCGUAUAUAUUUUUCCCUAUGCCUAUUCGCGUGCAAUUCC